GCUUCAUCAGGGUGGUAAACUGAGCAUGGUAUGCAACUCUCUGCUGGCCUGUUAGACCCUGCUCUUAUCGCUUAAAUUUUUUCCUGUUACUUCAAACUACACUCCUGGAUACCCCUGGCUCCCGUUCCUUUUCCUGUUCAAGUGGCAAUCAGAAACAAGACGCAGCCUAUUCCGCCGUGAGUCUCCCUAUUGUUCCUGUCUCCAGCCCAACUGCUCUGAGUACACUUUUUGGGGAAACCUAACUCCUGUUCACCUGCCUGUCCACUCUCCAACAUCACAUGCUCAAACAAAGACACCCCGACUCUAAACGCACUAAGAGGGAACAAAAGAUCAACAGUGUCUCGCCCCCACGCUCGCUGCUGGCCUCUGUCACUGUGGAAAGACUUACCUCUCCCAAGCAAACUCAACACCCCUCCAACAUGAAGAUCCAGAUUCCAAGGCGGAUCCAGCCCGGGCUCCUACCGUGCCAGCUUACUUUUUUGAAAAUAAAGGAAGAAGAAACGCUG